rnacentral:rRNA from 1 species
UACGGAGGGUGCAAGCGUUGUUCGGAUUUACUGGGCGUAAAGCGCGCGCAGGUGGGUGAACAAGUCGGAAGUGAAAUCUUGAGGCUCAACCUCGAGGCUGCUCCCGAAACUGUUCGCCUAGGGACUGGUAGAGGCUGGUAGAAUUCCCGGUGUAGCGGUGGAAUGCGUAGAGAUCGGGAAGAAUACCUGUGGCGAAGGCGGCCAGCUGGGCCAGAUCCGACACUGAGGCGCGAAAGCGUGGGGAGCGAACAGG